AGUGAACGCUGGCGGUAGGCCUAACACAUGCCAGUCGAACGGCAGCACAGUAAGAGCUUGCUCUUACGGGUGGCGAGUGGCGGACGGGUGAGGAAUACAUCGGAAUCUACUUUUUCGUGGGGGAUAACGUAGGGAAACUUACGCUAAUACCGCAUACGACCUACGGGUGAAAGCAGGGGAUCUUCGGACCUUGCGCGAUUGAAUGAGCCGAUGUCGGAUUAGCUAGUUGGCGGGGUAAAGGCCCACCAAGGCGACGAUCCGUAGCUGGUCUGAGAGGAUGGUCAGCCCACCUGGAACUGAGACACGGUCCAGACUCCUACGGGAGGCAGCAGUGGGGAAUAUUGGACAAUGGGCGCAAGCCUGAUCCAGCCAUACCGCGUGGGUGAAGAAGGCCUUCGGGUUGUAAAGCCCUUUUGUUGGGAAAGAAAAGCAGCAGGUUAAUACCCCGCUGUUCUGACGGUACCCAAAGAAUAAGCACCGGCUAACUUCGUG
rnacentral:rRNA from 1 species